CUCUCCUCCCAUUCUCUCUGCUUAUGACUCAACAGCACCUGAAAGAACAGUGUACUGGUGGAGGGGUCCUGGCUUGGAGGCUUCCAGCCAGUAAAGACCGCAAAGAGCAUAUGGUCCCCACAUCUGUACCCUAGUGUUCAGAGUGGGGAAGGAACCUUGACACACUCCUUGAUUCACUUCAUCUUCCUAAGGAUUCCUAGGCCACUGUUGUUCCCCAGACUGUUUACAACUGCUUUAGAAAGGGAGUAUUUGUAUCCACCACAGACAGUGCUGGGUUGGUGGAUGUCUGUGUGCUGGGUCACAUUGCCAUUCCUGAUGAUCUGACAGCAGAGGAAUUUGAGGCCUUCUGGCAGUCAUGUGGAGACAGCAGGUGAGCUCACUGAUGUGGAACUUCUCAAGACAGUCACAGAUGCUAAGCACCCACCGGUUGAAGAGGCACAAGAGGAUAGCGCAUCACACGAGAACCUGAAGAGCCUUCUCUUCAAGAACAGAUAUGUGCUGUGUACAUUUUCCACAGGAUAUGCCAGAAUUGUGGCUUUGAAAUUGGCUAUGAAGCUGACCAAAAACUGAGAGGGAUUUACAGAUCAAGGUGGCAAAUUGUAAAAAGCCCACAACAUAGGACAAAAUUAAAAAAUUACUUGCUGUUUCAUUUUGUGUGACAUACCUGGAGCAUUGAUGGUAAGUAUAAUGACAUUCCUUUUUUAUUUUACACAGGUCUGUCCUGUAAACAGCUGGCAGGGAGGGAACAUAAAGUCUGAAUGUGAACAGACUUUACCAGUUAUUUCAGGCAACUACAUAAGGUAUUUUUGCAGUACUAAAGGAAACUAUUAUUGUAUGUUUGGAUUUUUCAUGUUUAUUUUCAACACUGUAUCAAACAUAAAUUUUGUUGACUAAUAUAUGCUGGGCUAUAUUUAUCAGUCGAUCAAUCAAUAGAUAAAUAUAUGCUGAGCUGUAUCUAUCUGUCACUAGAUGUUGGUAAAUCACAUUACCAACAUACAUUAUCCACACCAUAUAUAUUUUAUUAGUAUGUAUAUGUAAUGGGGUGCUCACCGCGCCCCACUGGGUUCAGUCUUCUGACCCCAUUCCUCAAUGAGUAAGGAGCACUCCAAGCUGGUGCAACACCCAUGCUCUUUAUUCCUGUGUCCAGUCCCCACCACCAAGCUCCAACUAUUUACAGAUUAUUUACAGGUUUGGCCUAGCACAGGCCUCAGUGGCAACAGGCUCCUGUAUCCUUCUGAGCCUACUCUCCCAUCCUGGUCUCCGUCUCCAUCCCCAUCCCCUGACUCAUUUCCUCCGAAGCUUUUAACCCUCUGUUAACGAGGCUGGCAGGUGUGGUCAGUUUCCAGGCCAGUCC